GAAUUGCUUGAACCUGAGUGAGCUGAGAUCACGCCACUGCACUCGAGCCUGGGUGACAGAGCGAGACUCUGUCUAAAAAGAAAAAAAGAUUAAAAGAGAUUAUUUGUAGCACUGAGAUUCAAGCAGUACACACCAGUACAGUGUUAUCAGUUUUUAAAUUUCGAAAGAUUCCCACACACUCAGUGAGCAAUCACUGCUCUGAGCCAUACUCCCAGGCCCUCUUCUGGAACCCCUGGGACUCCCCGACCCAGCAACCAAAGGCAAGAUGCCUGGCUGUGCCCCAUCAGGCCUGGCAGACGCUGAUCAUUUAGGCCUAUGCUGGACCAAUUGUUAUAACCUUGCAAUGAUGACCUCUGUUUGUGUGGGCUUCUUUACGUAUUUAGAAAAUUAUUUCAUAUCUUUAUGUCCAUUAAUGCUGGGCUUAUGAGUUUUUACUAAAUGUAAUGAAGGUGGAUAACUUUUUACCUAAGAUACAUAUAGGUUCUUUGGGUAUAUUUCCAAAUUUAGAAUGGUUUAUACAAAUGACAUUUAUCCGGUGGCAAUGAAAUACCAAAGGAUUCAGUUUUGCUUUCUAUUUUCCCCAAAUAAUAUGUUUAAAAAAAAAAAGGUUGCUGCCAGAGCUGAAAGUGAUUCAUUCUCCUCCUUAUGAUAAACUCUAUAUUUCACACAAAGAAAUAUCUCUGUUCUGUUCUUCCCCAGCGCUGUGUAGCCAUUCACAUUCCUUUGCUGAGCUGUACAAGUAAUUCUGAUGAUGCUAGCAUUUAUUAUUUCCUAGUUACUCUGUCUAAGCCAAUCUGUAAAAUGUGUUACAGUUACAUUUUAGAUAUCUUCAAGGGCCACCAACUUGAUUAACUGACAUUAAUGACACUGUAUUUUUCUCAGUAUCCAUUGGUAGCGAGCAUCGUUUUUAGAUGGAGAGAAAAUGUGGUGUGGUAAAAUGAGCAGCCUUUUUGUUUCACAGUUCUCAAAUGCAUGCCCUAUAUUGAUAGUGUGAGCUGGGAAUUCAGCAGCUGUGAGAAACCGGAAGCCAAAGCUGUGAUCGGCAGACGGACGAGUCUGCUCCUGCCUGUGUCCUUUCUCUGUCCAGGUGAAGCUAUUAAAGGAGCAGGAAAAAUGUGAGGGGAUCAGGAAAGCGUACUCAAAUGUGAAUCAAGGAGAAGAAGGGCUUGCUUGUGAGGAGUUUGAAGAUGGUCUUGUGAACUCUCCCAUCAGCUGACCUGCCAGCAGCGAGCCGCCUUCUCCUCCAGUUCCUCUCUUGGUGCCUGGCUCUUGGUGGCAGAGGCAGCAGCCCUGCUCUGUGCCAGGUCCUUGACCUCUGUAGACCGACAGCCAGACUUGACUUUCUCCUCUCCCUCAGCUGACCAGAUUUCGACAUUUCAGUUGGUCCCAUGCCUGAUUUCAUGAAGGCACUGGCACUUCAUCAGAUGGCCCUGUCUCUGUGUUUGGGGACAGGGAGCAGACACAAGUCUCAGACUGUAAGAGGCAGGCUGGCCUGGCGUCGGGGCUAUCAGCAUCCAGCCCAGUGCAGGAAGGAGGCCUUUCAUCUUUAGGCUCAGACAACUGGUUUGGAUCCUUUUAAUAAGUACUUCUUUCUGCACCGAAAUAUGAAAUAAUAAUACCUUAGCCGCACAGCAUAACCAGAGUGCCAAGACUAUAGAAAUGCCUCUCACAGAUAAUGCAGAGGAACUGUCCCCUUCCUCCCCGGGGAAGGAAGGAAAGUCCUGAACCACUUUUCUUGAAGAAUUUGCUGGUCCUCCGAGGCAGCUGCAGAGCAGGAGGAUCCAGAGAAGCCACUGAAGAGGCCUUGGGUUCAAAUCUUGACCCUGUCGCUUACCAAAAGCCACGUAAACUCUGUGCACCUGUCCUCUCUUGCCUGUGAGGUCAGGUGGUGCAGCAUAUGGGUGUGAGGAUGACAUGAGUGCCUCGCUGCGUGCCUGGCACUCGGGAAGCUUUCAGUAAAUAGCAUCAUUUUAAGAACUGAACAGGAGGCCUGAGCAAGGCUCUGGUUCAUGUGCACGUAUUUUGGAAUGUGUUCAGUCUCUCUACGUUGAAAUUUUCUCCACAAAGCUCAAAAGUAUGUAGUCAUCAGUUUCCUGCAGCUUCCUAUUGCACAAACCAUUUCCUGUUCCCAGGACUGCUGACACUAGGAAGUAAAGGGACAAACAGGCUGAUGAAAAGGAGCCUCACUCCUGGGCUGGCCCCAUUGUCAGCGGCAACAACACUUGCUCUUAAGCUGGCCAGGGGUCACCGCACCCUCCAAGACCCAGUGUUGAAAGCCAGUGUGUCACUGCGGGACCAAGUGGAAAAGGAGAGGCUGCCUCCCCCAUCCCUGUCCUAGAAACAAUGGACCUGGCAGGAAGGAAAGUUAGCGGAGGGAGCCUUGGCAAGCCCAUCUUCUAGAAGGUCCAGGAGCUCACCAUGCCUAUUAGAUUCCAUGAUAUUCUAGCACUGAGAGUUGUGGGCUGACCCAGGGUUUAAAGUGUGAUGUCCAAGCAACUGUUGGGCUGCAUUACGCCAGCCCGAGGGCUUCCUCCAGCCCCUGCCCCGAGGUGACCACAGCUGCAAGUGCAGGAGAGAGAAGGAGCCGGAAGAGGGUGUGCCCCACCUGCCCACUCAGCAGACCUGCUUUUGGCUUAUUUCACUAGACAAUUUGAAAGCAAGAAACAAGCUUUAAUCAGAUACCAUGGGAAAACACAGCCCUUGUUUUGAAGAACUUAAAAUCUGAAAGUGGAGAGACAAAAAUCUACGUGCUUCAUGAGUGGAUUCUGCAAGCUGAUGUUACUAGAUCUCGCAGGAAGCAGCAAGACAGCAGUGGCUCCUUCUGCUUUCCCUGCCCCUGCCUUGAAAUGAGCUUCAUCUCUCCUGGUGACCCCCUAGAAAUUUCGCUUCAACAAGACUAGGUCCCUAACAUUAUGACUUCUGUACCUGCUAAUCUGUCACCACCUCCCAGCCCCUGGGCCACACCUGUAGCCUCCAGCAAACUUACCAACGCAGUCAGGACUUUCUCUCAGUGGUUUUCAAGGUAUCAACAUGGCUUUCAGAGCAUCACCUCCAAAUGAAGGCCAGGACACACACAAUUAAAUGAAGGUAGUUGAAAGGAAAAAAGGAACUUUCAAGUAAACAUUUUUGAGAUUCAGUUAUGAGUCUUACUGCACUGCGAAUCCUAUAACCCAUUGUAAUACUAAUCUCGAACAAAAUUUCUAUUUGCAUCAUGUGUUUUCUUGUUCACCAAGAGGGCAGCAUGUUACCAAUAGAUACCUGGGGACGUGAUUCAGUCUGAGCUAUAAUUGAAUCCCUGACAUUAUAAGGAAUUUGAAUGAAAAGGAAGCCCCAGAGCUGGGGAGAAAAUCUUCCUGCUAAGCAAACCUCACAACCUCACGGUGUGUUCUACCUGGGCCUGACCCGCACAGUAACCAGAAGCUUCCUCAGCCCAGCAGUUUCAACCAAGUAUUUCAGGAACCCAGGUUCACCCCUGGCAGUGACAAGCCUCGGGCGAUUUCAGUCAUCAAGUGUCUCUGAUCCCCAGAUUCUUACAAGGGAACUUUGCAAAGCUUGUAGUCUCUCCUUCCUAAUUUAAUUUAAACUGCACCUGUGAUAAAGAGGUAAGUGUGCGGCUUCUCCCUAAUGCUACCACGAAUUUCUAUAUGACACGGAUCCUCCUUGGGGCUGAGAGUGAAGUGCGGGAAGUCUAAAAAGAACUGUGUCCAUCCCCUGUGUCCCAGGGCUUCUCCAGGGAGCUGCCAUCUACCCAGCCCCUCCCACCUGUCCUCGUUUCUCCUCGGCCAGCCCCCAGCAUGGAGGUGCCUACUGCCCCCACAGUGUCUCUGCCAGACUCUUCCAGGGCCCAAUGCAGAGCCAGGCACAGCUUCCCCAACCUCUCCUCAUCCCUGCUGCCUCCAAAACAAACACAAAUUAGAAAAGGGACAAAAGAGUUUUGGUUAUAGGAAGGUCAAAGAGUUUUAAAAAUUACCAGCAUUGGGAAAAUUACAAGGUUGCUAAAGAAUCUGAAAAAACUACCAACAGCGGUUCCCAGAGCCUGACCUCAUUUAUGUUUCAAUGGAAACCUGGGUCAACUGCUCUGAAUAUUUCCCAAGGAUUCUUACCAAUCUUUUGUGUAGUUAGAGGUCAGUCUUGCGGGCACCUUCUCUGUUACCAAGCUGUGCCUAGCUCUUAGGUCCAGGCUCAAUCCCUGACCCUUUAACAGAGAAGACACUUCUCCUUCUCCCCUACAAAGGCCUCACCCUUGGGCUUUAGGCUACUUGUUUUGACCUUCAGUUUGCCACCAUGGUCUAUCAUGGGGGCCUCUUGGGUGAGGUCUUAGGGAUCUGCCCUCCAGCCCCUCCCCAACUGACUUCUCCUCUAGGCCACUGUUCCCUUGCAGUUGCCUUCCGUGUUCCUCCCAGAUAGCUCUGUGCCUCCGGCGUAGAGCACGAUGCGGGUCUCUGUCAUUGAAUUAAAAUUGUCCCAGUGAGGCAAUACAACACAAUAAGGGAAAGCUGUGUCUCAGCUGGGUGCCAUCGGGCAGGCAGCUUGAGCUCAACAGUCCUCAGUUUUCUCUGCUGCAAAAUGGGAAUCCCAAUUGUGACAGGGAAUUAAAAAUUGGGACCACAAUUCACUCUGCCAAAAGAAAAAUUAAGCUGAAAGCUGAGUCAUGCAAGAUGCAGCCUUUCCCUUUGUUUCUAAGCAGAGACCUACAGAUAAAAGGUUAAACAUCUCCACAGAUAGCUUCUCUGUGUUCACCUUAUGUUACGUAAAUUGCCAAUUUACCGAGCAUGAUUUACUGAGUGCGAGAGGAAUACAUAACGACUAUUCCCCUACCUGCUUUUCUCUUUUCGCCUUUAAAUGCUGAAGCCCUCAAAAUCAUCACUGGAGAAAGGCACAGACCACAGAUUGUUUCUGUGAUUCCAUGUUUAUUUCUCUGGCAUGUCCUUAACCUUGGCAAAAUCAACUUCUAAAUUGAUUGAGACCUGUCUCCAAAACUUUUUGGUUUACAAAAUAAUGUCCACUUUAUCAUACUAUUGUGAGGCUGAAAUUGGGCAAUCCUAAGACCUUAACCUAUGCCUGGGUACAAUGACUGCUCAAUACACACUGGUUCACAUUAUAAUUCUUAUUAACAUCUUUUUUUAAAAAUCAGCCUGCUCACUGAUUUUUAUUCUUUCUUAAAAAAAAAAAAAUAGACUACCUUUAGACUGCCUCCUUUCGUCUUGCACAAUGUGAGGCGCUAGGGGUAGAACGGGAAGUAAAUGUCUCUGCCUUCAAAAGGAAUUCUGCAGAGUGGGAAAGAGGACAAGUGCCAAAAAUCACAGAGCAGUGAGCUCAGUCUUGCAAUGGGAAUAUUCCUGGGCUCCUGUAGGAAUGUUGGAUGAGAAGCAACUAACUCCGCCUGAGGACAAGAACAGGGAGAGGUGGUGCACACAAGACUGCUGGAGGAGCUGACACGUCAGACUGGAAACAACCGGAAGGGAACUGCACAGGGGAAAGGAGGGAAGAAGGGCCUGCCCGGAGCAGUCUGCACUGACGGCUGGCCCUGCACCCCAGGCCCUGGGCUGGGUCAACAGGUGUUCAAAUUUAAUCUGUGGAUCCAG